UGUCUGGAUGUCUGCUCUGGGGAGAUAGGGUUUUGUGUGAUCCCAGCCAGGCCAGCCCUCCUCUCCAGGACUCUCCCCAGGAAAACCCUGUCAGCCAGGGGGUCCUGGCAGCUCCCUUCUGCCCUGGGGAGAAGCUUCCAGCAGCUCAGCCCACGAGGCCUUCAUGGAGCUUGGGAACAAGCUAUCCCUGGUCCGGCAGGGGGAGGGCGAGAAGUACGUGGUGCUGUAGCAGCACUCCCAGGAAGCGGUGCCUGGCCCGCCGGCCAGCAUGGCCCUGCGGGAGGGCCCACGGGCAGGGCCAGAGGAAGGGCCUGCAUUGCCCCACAUCCUGAUCACUGACUUCAGUGCUUCGAGCACUGCAGCCUGGGGCAGCCUCGAGGGGGUCCCUGCUACAGCCCCCAACCCACAGCCUGGGCCUGAACCCCCAAGAGCGGCAGAGGAGGAUGCAGAGUGUCUCUCCAAGCCUGAGUUGGAGCAGGAUGCCUCCGAAGAUGGAGGGAGCAGCCUGGGCUCCAGCUCUGUGGCGCUGGACCCCGUGGAGAAGGAGUGGCUGCAGGGGGCAGCCAGCGGGCACCUGCUCACCCUGAGUCACCUGCUCAAACAGGACCCGUCCCUGGCCACCAGGAAGGACUUCACCUCGGGGGUAAGUCGGGGCCGUGGAGCUGGCUGCUUCUGCAGAGGCUCAGGGUGGGGAGUGUUGGGGUUCGUUGAGCCCUGGUCCCUGGCGGGAUCCCCAGUGCCCAGCAGGGAGCCUGGGGAUCUGAACGGGAGCCCAGCCCAGCCCCAGGGGGCAGUAGCAAAGCAGUCCAGCCAGGGAAGAAGGGGGGUCCAAGGCCCGAAGAACAGCUCUCCCCAGGGGCUUCCAAAUCCAGAUGCUUGGAGGCUGAGUUUCCUGCCCCAAAUGGAAGGUUUGGGCUGGCCUCCCCCACGUUGGACCAACACCGCACUGGCUCUGGGGGCCCCAUGUGAUGCUUCUAACAUGUCUCCUUCUCUGCCCCGUCCCUUCCACCCGUCCCUGCCGGUGCCGGCGCCCAUCUCGGCCGGGAGCAGUUUACAGCGCUGCACUGGGCGGCCAAGCAUGGCCAGGAGGACUUGGCCUCGCUGCUGGUGGCUGCAGGAGCCGAUGUCAACUCGCGAUCGGGCUACACCCCGCUGCACAUUGCUGCUCUGCACGGGCACCGCCAGGUCAUGGACCUGCUCAUCCAGAGCUACGGUGCCAAGCAAAACGUGCGGGAUUACAGUGGGCACCUGGCCAGACACUACCUGGGAGCAGAGAAGCCGCGGGACCGAGCUGCCACGCUGCCCCAUUUGCCAGCGGUGCGCGGCAGGAACAGGGCGCUGGCCUGUCUGCCCUUGCCCAAGGGCAGUGGCCAGGCCCGGAAGCGCUGGGGCUCUGCCGAGGACCUGACGGAGGAGGAGGAGCGGGGGCAGGCGCAGCACCUCACCGUGCCAGCCUCAUACCGCGCCGUGCGCAAGUUCUCCCGCUAGGGGGGCCGGCUCCCAGCCCCAGCCCUAGUCCCACCCACUGCCAGGGGCUCAGGCAGCCCCGAGGGUGCAGGGUCUGGAGGAGGGCAGUGGAUGGGCCCUGCUAGCGACUGCCCAGCCGGAGCAGGGGCAAGAGGCGCCGUGUUUCCCAAUGUUCAUACUCACACAGCCCCUCCCACAGCUGGAUGCCCCUCAGUCCUGACCUGCAGCCCCUGCUGUCCUGCCCUCGCGCUUCCUGUCUCCACCAACACGGGGCUCACUCGGUUACCGCCCGGCUGCUGGGUCUGCCAGCGCCAUGCACCGUGCCAGGUGCCUCACCCAGCCCCCGGAGCCCCACACCCUUGCCUCUCUGCUUUUUUCUAAUGGAUCCUGACACUGAAAUAAAACACUACGUGCAGCUGUAGGUCUGCA
ensembl:lncRNA